rnacentral:lncRNA from 1 species
AAACUCAACACACAUAUAUUAUUAAUUUAAUUUCCUUGGUGGCCAAGACAAUCAAAUGCAUACAUGCCUAUAUAUACAAAAAGAAAAACAAAUCAACCAAAUAAAUCACAUACUCCAAAUACUGUAUAGUUGUAGAGUGAACACACAUUUGAUGGCAGUGGGAGUUGAUCUUGCUGAAGCAUAUGUGUUGCGAAAGAUGCAUAAAGAAAAAUUGAAGGAAAAGGAAGAAACCGGGAGAUCCAAGACAAGCACGAUAAUUGGAUCUAAACCCAAUAGAUCAAGUGGGUGUGUCUUUUGGUUUUCUAAGAAACUAAGAAGAACUACACGAAUAAGAGAUGACAUCAAUGAAAAAGAUGUGACAAAAGAGAUUUUGGAUCCAAUUUUUAAAAAUGAUCUUCGAUGAGUUAUUGAUUGAUAUAUUGUGAUUAAUUAAGAAUGUAAUUUAAUGUUUUGAGGUUAUUUGUAUUCAUCUUCACCACAUGGAUGAGCUGAUGAAUAAAUAUUACUUUUGUGCAAGUUUUGUAUGAUCUAGAUGAUGAUUUUAGAUUAUGCUUUUUUGGAUGAUGUUUUUUUACUAGACAUGUAUUUGAUUAAAGCAUCAAAACUUCAAGAACCUAUAUAUUUUGCUAGACUUAGUACUUUAAGUAUUAAACUUUAUUUGAAUACUACCAUUUAUUUGUUUACUAUAUAUGUUACUAAUGUUAGAAAAUUUCUAUACUACCAUUUAUUUGAAUAGAACUUUGUUAAUAAUUUGUGUUAAAUUUGCAUUAUGUUUUUCUUAGUUUAAUUUGUGUAUGUAAUUAAAUUUAUUAUAUAUACAAUAAUUUAUUGUUAUAAAAUAAUGACAAAAUGUCUAAUUGAUUUGAGUUAAAAUAAUAGAAAAAUGAAAAUUUAUUUUGCAUAUAUGAAUACAGUUUAAAAUUGUUGCCUAUAAGUUGUAGCAACAUUUUAUCAAUUAUCACAUUGUAUUGUUUUAAGGCAACAUUUAUCAAUUGUUGUCAGAUAUGACAAUACUUGAAAAAUAUUGUCUUAGACGCGUUGAAAAAUUGUUCUCUAUUCUCAUAGUUUAGGCAACAUUUAUAAAUAGUGUGCCCAAAAAUGCGAGAAAAAUGUUUUCAAAGAUAAUAUGCAACGCUCGCAUAUGAGACGCGCAAAAAAUGUUGCCUAUUCUCUUUGGCAACAUUUUUCUGUGUUUUAGCAACAUUUUUCAAAUGUUGUUACAAAGCAAAAAUGUUGUAGUGGUUGCACUUUAAAGCAAAAUAAUCCAUGUGGUCACUUAAUUUAAUUUUAGGUAAAAAUUUCAUUUUUUUUUAAUUUGAUCAUUUAUUUAACUUUAAGUAAUGAUUCAAUCACUUAGGUUUUAAAAUGUCAACAAUGUUAUCAUCUUUUAAAGAAACUUAGAAAAUUCAUCAUCAUAUUUAAAUUAAACUUCAAAAGUUAAUUAUCAACUUCAACAAAACUUAGAUUUUCAUCAUAUUCAACUACAAAAAAAAAAAAAAAGAAACUAUUGUGAUACUUAACUUUUAGUGAUAUCUCUUAAUUUGUCGCUAUAGUUACUUUUAGCUACAGAGAGAGUGUCACUUAUUCUCAUUUAAUAUCAAUACAUCAUAAAUUAAAAAGAAAAAAAUUCAAAUAUUCACAUCCAUAAAAAUAUUCAUUUGUUCACUAAAACAUCAAUUCACAAAAAUAAUGUAUUCGUUUAUUUUUUCAUUUCGAUCUCUAAUAUUGCUUUCUUUCCCAUUUUAAUCUCUGAAAUUGUUUUUUUUCCAUUUCGAUCUCUGAAAUUCUGCUACUUUUGAAGAAGAGAUUGAUCUCCCGGAAAUCCCACCGACUCAGUAUCGUUUUGUGUGUUUCAGCACCAUUUUGAAUGGGCAGAACCCUUCUAACAAGUUAAUUGGUAACAUUAUCCUCUCUCUCUAUCUCUCUUCGCUUCUCUCUCUCUCUAGCACAUCUCACUCUUUCUUCUCGGAUUCUUUCUCAAUUGUAACCGUUCACGGAAACCACCACCACUGUGUGAAUCUCGAAAACACGCCGGAAAUUUUAUCCACCAUCGAUUUAUUCCACCUGUGGAGAAUCAUCCUAUCAAAAGUGGUGGAGAGUGAGACUGGAUUUGGAUGGUUCCGGUCAGCAGAGACUCAUCCUAUCAAAAGUUGUGGAGAGUGAGACAUGAUCCGGAUGGUUCCGACGCUCGUCGUUUUGAGUUGACAUUCUUGCGUUGUUAUCGUUGUUUUCUCUAUUGCGGGUUUUUCCAUUCUUUUUCUUUCAUGAUUUGGAUAUAGUAUAAUAAAUACUAUAUAUAUUAGUAAAAUAGAAAGAACACACAUUGAAAUUGAACGAAAGGGAAGUUUAGUUGCAAUUAUAGGAAAUAACACUCAUAUAAGGAAGAACUGAAAAUUAGAAUGGGUUUGAAGGUGGAAGUGACAAACCUUGACCAGUAAGAUAGAAAUAACACAUUGAAAUUGAACGAAAGGGAUGUUUAGUUGCAAUUAUUGGAUAGAACACUCACAGAAGGAAGAACUGAAAAUUAGAAUGGGUUUAGUAAAAUAGAAACAACACACAUUGAAAUUGAAUGAAAGGGAAGUUUAGUUGCAAUUAUAGGAAACAACACUCAUAGAAGGAAGAACUGAAAAUUAGAAUGGGUUUAGUAAAAUAGAAACAACACACAUUGAAAUUGAAUGAAAGGAAAGUUUAGUUGCAAUUAUAGGAAACAACACUCGUAGAAGGAAGAACUGAAAAUUAGAAUGGGUUUGAAGGAGGAAGUGAUAAACCUUGACUAGACUUGUAUCACAGAUUGUGGCAACCUCUUCUUUAUGUUGUUCCAUUUGCGAUUUUUUUCUUCUUGAAUCUCUCCGAUUUUCUUUUCCGUGAAUCUGUUUGAUUUUCUUCUCCGUGAAUCUGUUUGGUUUGCAAAAAUGUUCGAGUGUUGUAGUUUGUAAGCCACAAAUAUUUCAAAAUGACAAAAAUUUGAAGUUGAGUUAUGUGCAGAAAGCUAGAGUAAUUUACAAUUGUGAGCCUAAAAUUUUUGCAAAGGUUAAAUUUAUGAAGGAAAAAAAUUGUAUUUUUGGUAUAGUUGAGAAUUCUUAUAGUGUAUUGUAGAUUUGCAAAUGUUAAAUUUAUGAAGGACAAAAUUGUAUUUUUGGUAUAGUUGAGAAUUCUUAUAGUAUAUUGUAGAUUGUAGAUAAAAAAAAAAAUUAAAAUUUAUUUUUAUCUUAAAAAAGAUAAAGAGAUUGUCAAAUUGAAAUUUAAAGUAAAAAAGAAGAUAAAAUUCAGAUUUAGAAAGAUGAAGAAUACAUUCAGAAAAAGAUGAAGAAUCGUAACCUAUAAAAAACCUCGAUUGCUUCGCGUUCCUUUCGAUUUGAGUCUUAUCUCUUAGUUUGUUUCAACCGCAUUCUGCUUCCUCAUAGACAAUACUUUUCUUUUGCUUACACUCUUUAUCUUUUCAAUGUUUUCUUCUUCAUGUUGCCUAAACUAUGGGAAUAGAAAACAAUUUUUCAACGCGUCUAAGAUCAUAUUAAUAUGAAAUCAAUAUGAAUAAGUUACAUAUUCAGUUACACUAACACCAAAAUAUCUAACAACAAAAGUUUAAACAAGGACUAUUUAAAUUGAUAUUUUACGAAGUCAAUGUAUUUGUUAAUUAACAAAAUUCAGAGACUAAUUUAACCAACGAUUAUAAUUUCAGAGAACAAUUUAUAUAUUUUCCCAUUAGUAAAGAUUAUUUCAACUCUUUGAAAAAAACCUUUUUAGUUGUCAUUCAUGUUGGAAUUUUAGAUUGGUAUGUGUAAGUUAUUAAGGCUUCAUUUGGGUUUGUUGUUUUGAUUUUCAAAAUCUAAAACCAGUUUUAAUUUUGAGUUUUUAGUUUAAAGUUUUUUAUUUCAAUUUUCAAUUCUAAAUUUUAAUUCUUAAUUGAGAUUCAGUUUUUAUUUUAUUUUAUUUGAAAAGAAUCAUUCUCUUCUUUGUCUCAUUAUGAAAUCAUCAAAUAAAAAAUUAAUAAUGGCAUGUAAAAAUCAUUAAACAUGAAGAAAAAAAAUAAAAAUAAUACUUCCUUCAUCCUACAAGAGUUGUUGUAUUUGCCCAUUUGACAUAAAUUUAAAAAAUAUGAUAUAUGAAUGAUAAAGAAGAAGAAUUUUAUCAAAUAUUCUUUAUACACCAUUCGUUGAUUCCAUUAAUUAUCCUUACACCCCUUUGUUCUGAUUUUUAAAAACUAAAAUCAGUUUCAAUUUUGAGUUUUCAUCGAUUGCACUUUUAGUUCUAAAUUUCAAUUCUUAAUUUAAUUUCAGUUUUUAUUUAAAUGAAUAGAAUCAUUCAAUUUACUGUCUUAUUAUGAAUUCAUCAAAUAAAAAAAUAAUAAUGGCAUGUAAAAAUAAAUAAAUAUAAAAAAAUAAAAACAAUACCCCCUCCGUCCAAAAAUAGUUAUCGCAUUUGCCUAUUUGACACAAAUUAAAAAAAUAUGAUAAAUUAAAAAUAAAGAAGAUAAUUUUAUCAAACUAUCCUUAUGCAUCAUUCGUUGUUUUCAAUUAUCAUAAAUGUCAGGUGGGGGUGAUAAUAAAGUGGAAGGGUUGCAUAUAAUAUUAAUUUUAGGGUAAACUUAGCAAAAUGAAAUUAAAGUUGGGUGAUAAUAAAGUGGAAGGGUUGCAUAUAAUAUUAAUUUUAGGGUAAACUUAGCAAAAUGAAAUUAAAGUUGCAUUCAAAACCAUAUACGAUAAUUAUUUUAAAAUAAAUUUUCUUGCAAAAACGACAAUUAUUAUUGAAUUGAAGGGGUAUUAAAAUUUAAUUAUUUUAAAAUAAGUCAAAUAUUAUAAAAUUAUAAUUUAUUUAAUUAUAAUAAUUUUAAUAAUAGUAGUUGAAGAUAGUAGUUGUAGAAGCAACUGUGGUAAUAGUGAUCGAUCGAUGAUGGUGUCAAUAUAAUAAAAAAAAAUGAUGGAUUGCCGGUGGUAGUGGCAACAAAUAUGGUGGUGACGAUUGUUAGAAGUGAGUGGUGGACAGCGGUUGGCAAUAGUUGAAGAUGGGUGGUAGAUGAUGAGAGUCUUUGGUUCGAGGUCGGUGGUAGUGGGAGGUGUAUGGUUGAUGAUAAUAGUAGUCAUAGAUGGUAGUCGGUAGUGGUGGUCGAUCUUUUAUUUUGUUUUUAAGUUUAUUUUUAAUUUUUUUAUUAAAAUUUCUUUUUAUUUUUAAAAACUAAUAUAUAUAUAUAUAUAAUAUUAAAUUUUUGUUAUAAAUGAGUUUAGUAAUUACAAAUAAGUUUAAUAUGGCAUGAAGUUGAACGUCACUUUAUUUAAUUAUCACAUAAUCAAAAUUAACUUUAAAUUAAAGUUUGAGCAAAAAUUUUAAAAAAUAAAAGAUUAAAAAUUGCAAAGACAAAAAUAAGAAUUAAAUUAACGUAUUGAUAAAAUUGAAUAAAAUUAAGCCACCAAAAAGCAUUUAAUUCAAAUCAUCGUGCACACAUCAUAUAGUAUACGUGGCAAUGCAAAGCUCAUAACAAAAGAAUACUUUUUCUCGGAAGCUCACAAUUAUGCUUGAUCGCAAAGGUUCCCAUUAACUACCAAACAAAAAAUAGUAUAGCGUGCCAUAUAAUAUUUCCAAGUGUAUAAUCCACUAAUUUGGAAAGUAGUCAAACUCAACACAUAUUAUUAAUUUAAUUUCCUUGGUAGCCAAGACAAUCGAAUGCAUACAUGCCUAUAUAUACAAAAAGAAUAACAAAUCAACCAAAUAAAUCACAAACUUCAAAAUACUGCAUAGUUGUAGAGUGAAGACAUAUUUGAUGGCAGUGGGAGUUGAUCUUGCUGAAGCAUAUGUGUUGCGAAAGAUGCAUAAAGAAAAAUUGAAGGAAAAGGAAGAAACCGAGAGAUCCAAGAAAAGCACGAUAAUUGAUUGGAUUUAAACCCAAUAGAUCAAGUGGGUGUGUCUUUUGGUUUUCUAAGAAACUAAGAAGAACUACACGAAUAAGAGAUGACACCAAUGAAAAAGAAUGUGACAAAAGAGAUUUUAGAUCAAAUCUUAAAAAAUGAUCUUCGAUGAGCUAUUGAUUGAUUUAUUGUGAUUAAUUAAAAAUGUAAUGUAAUGUUUUGAGGUUAUUUGUAUUCAUCUUCACCACACGAUGAGCUGAUGAACAAAUAUUACCUUUGUGCCAAUUUUGUAUGUCAAAUUUUCAUAAAAUGUGUUGCACUUAACUUUAAAGCAAAAUAAUUCGUGUGGUCACUUAAUGUAACUUAAUGUAAUUUUAGGUAAUAAUUUAGUCUUUUAUUUUUUUAUUUAAUCAUUUAUUUAACUUUAAAUAAUAAUUUGACCAUUGACGUUUUAAAA